GGUUACUAGCCCCAGUAAAUGAAAAAUCCCACAGACAACUACAGGGGAAAGGCAAAUGUGUGUCCAGAAGGGAUUUUCUCUGCACUCCCACAGGUACAAGACUUCCACUCCUUCUCCCGCUGGGCUUCCAGUGGGAAAGCAGGUCUGAUUACCUUGGAAGGUUUGGGGCCUCCAUACUGAUCUCUUGGUACUGUCUCUCCCCAUCUCUAAAAGAAGUCCAUGAUGUCAGCUACAUUACAGACUUGUGUUUUUUUUGUUGUUUUUUUUUUGUUUGUUUGUUUUUUGUUCAGACCCCAGAUUUCACAUUCAUUUUCUGGGCUUUGCUUUCAAUACCACAGAUUUGCAGAAUUGAAUGA
rnacentral:lncRNA from 1 species